CCCCUACUGACUUCAGAGGGAAGAUCUAAAACUCAUCCAAGAACAGAAUUUAGCUCAUACAAAAAUGAAACAACAAAGAAUGUUUAAACUUUUAUAUUUGUGGCUUCAUUUUUAUUAUUUUCGGCUAUUAAAAACCAUGGAUACUGGAAAGAAACAAACUACAAAAACAUGCAAAUGAUUAUUAUUUUAACUUAUGAUUAAUUCCUUCUUGUUUUAGUGAUGUUUCUACUAAACAGUCUUCCUAUUCUGAAGUCCUGUGUUGGAACCCACAAGUGAAGAGUCACAAAGUUCUGAGAUCAGAGAAUUGCCUCAAAUUCUGAAUGAAGAACCAUCUGCAAGGUCCCUCUCUAUUACAGUCCUCACGCUUUGAGUGUAUCAGAGCCGGGUCAAGCCUUAAACCAGAUGUUGCCGCUGUUGUUAUAAAACAGUUAAACCAUGUGAAUGAAGACACAUCAGCU
rnacentral:lncRNA from 1 species